UCAUAUCGGGCAGAUGGCAAGUGAACAAGUUUCUGGUGAUCAAAUCUAUCCUUGAGAUUAUUCCAAAGGGUGAGUGGAUUUUUGAUAGUGAGAUAUUCAGAUUUUAGGUCUUCGUGGAUGUGAUGCCUAAGAAAGAUAAUUGCUUUUGCAUUUUGUUCAACAGUUGGGAUUUUUUCUGGGUCAAUAGUAUCUUUUAGGCCAUUAGCACUAAGGUGUAAUUCCGCAUCAAGGACCCAUGAUAGAUGAUUAUUUCCA
rnacentral:lncRNA from 1 species